UACAGAGGUCUCAAGCGUUGUUCGGAUUCAUUGGGCGUAAAGCGCGUGUAGGCGGACUGGUGUGUCGGAUGUGAAAUCCCCAGGCUCAACCUGGGAACUGCCAUUCGAAACUGCCAGCCUUGAGUGGUGGAGAGGGAAGUGGAAUUCCUGGUGUAGAGGUGAAAUUCGUAGAUAUCAGGAGGAAGACCAGUGGCGAAGGCGGGUCUCUGGACAGUUCCUGACACUGAGACACGAAGGCCAGGGGAGCAAACCGGGG
rnacentral:rRNA from 1 species